UUUAUUUAGUUUACCUCUACCAGAGAGGAGAGGGGAAAUAGUCAAUAAAACCCUCGGAAAAGAGACGCGCACGGAAAGCGCUAAAAGAGAAUAAGGAAUCGGUCUCGCAACUGAGAUUUGGAUUCGGAAGUCGGUUACGUAAGGGGAAGAUAUUAGCAACCCUUACGUCUAUGGUACUCCAUGGGAACCAUUUGGGUUGUUUUAUAUACAUGGGAUUUAUCUAUUAUUGUUUUAUUUUCAAAAGAAUGUGUGAAAAGAAGGGGGUGUUUUUGU
rnacentral:lncRNA from 1 species